AUACGGAGGGUGCAAGCGUUAUUCGGAAUCACUGGGCGUAAAGGACGCGUAGGCGGGUUGGCAAGUCAGGUGUGAAAUCCUACAGCUUAACUGUAGAACUGCAUUUGAAACUGCUAACCUAGAGUAUGGGAGGGGGAGAUGGAAUUAGUGGUGUAGGGGUAAAAUCCGUAGAUAUCACUAGGAAUACCGAAAGCGAAGGCGAUCUCCUGGAACAUAACUGACGCUAAGGCGUGAAAGCGUGGGGAGCGAACAGGAUUAGAAACCCGAGUAGUCC
rnacentral:rRNA from 1 species